rnacentral:rRNA from 1 species
CAUGGCUCAGGAUGAACGCUGGCGGCGUGCCUAAUACAUGCAAGUCGAGCGAACAGAUAAGGAGCUUGCUCCUUUGACGUUAGCGGCGGACGGGUGAGUAACACGUGGGUAACCUACCUAUAAGACUGGAAUAACUCCGGGAAACCGGGGCUAAUGCUGGAUAAUAUUUAGAACCGCAUGGUUCUAAAGUGAAAGAUGGUUUUGCUAUCACUUAUAGAUGGACCCGCGCCGUAUUAGCUAGUUGGUGGGGUAAUGGCUUACCAAGGCAACGAUACGUAGCCGACCUGAGAGGGUGAUCGGCCACACUGGAACUGAGACACGGUCCAGACUCCUACGGGAGGCAGCAGUAGGGAAUCUUCCGCAAUGGGCGAAAGCCUGACGGAGCAACGCCGCGUGAGUGAUGAAGGUCUUCGGAUCGUAAAACUCUGUUAUUAGGGAAGAACAAAUGUGUAAGUAACUGUGCACGUCUUGACGGUACCUAAUCAGAAAGCCACGGCUAACUACGUGCCAGCAGCCGCGGUAAUACGUAGGUGGCAAGCGUUAUCCGGAAUUAUUGGGCGUAAAGCGCGCGUAGGCGGUUUCUUAAGUCUGAUGUGAAAGCCCACGGCUCAACCGUGGAGGGUCAUUGGAAACUGGGAAACUUGAGUGCAGAAGAGGAAAGUGGAAUUCCAUGUGUAGCGGUGAAAUGCGCAGAGAUAUGGAGGAACACCAGUGGCGAAGGCGACUUUCUGGUCUGUAACUGACGCUGAUGGCG